UACAGAGGAGGCAAGCGUUAUUCGGAAUUAUUGGGCGUAAAGGGCGCGUAGGCGGCCUGGCAAGUGGAAGGUGAAAUCCCUCGGCUUAACCGAGGAACUGCCCUCCAAACUGCUUGGCUUGAGUCCGGGAGAGGUGAGUGGAAUUCCCAGUGUAGCGGUGAAAUUCGUAGAUAUCGAGAGGAACACCGGUGGCGAAGGCGGCUUUCUGGACAGUGACUGACGCUGAGACGCGAAAGCGUGGGGAGCAAACAGG
rnacentral:rRNA from 1 species